GGAUAUAGCGCAGUGGUCAGAGUGUUGGACUCGUAAUUUGAAGGCCCGUGUUCGAAUCAUGUACUUUUAACU